GGAAGUGUGCCCGAGAGAUAAGGAUCUCCUUGAUAAGGAGGA
rnacentral:tRNA from 1 species